rnacentral:lncRNA from 1 species
UCAGAACUAAGAUUUCACCCAUAGUUUAGGGAAGCAAACAUAAAUAGGGAAAGGGUACAUGAGACAAGUAUUUCGCAUGUGAGAUCAUAGUUGCACAUAAAGGUAGUGGGUAAAUGAGACAAACAUAUCACAUGCAAACUCACGGAAUCAAAAGAUAUUUAAGAGGCCUUAAAAUAGACAAGUUGAGACAUAAAAGUAAAUAGUAACAACAUCAAUCAUAACAGGUAACAGUAGUCACGAGCAUGUAAGUAUCAAUAGGCAGACCAUGAAUCAAUCACAUGUUACACAGCAGAAGCUCAAGUAGAAAAAAAUUAGGAGUAAAAACAUACUGAAGUAGAAAUAACCACAUUGGUUUGGAACAUAGAAUUUAAUCAGGAUAUACCAGCAACAAAGAGAGCACAACAGAAUGUGAGAGCCAAAUAUGAGCACAAUAUUAGCCUUGGCAUUUCAGCUGGCUAGUAAUGGUCAAGAGCAGGAGCAGCAACAGCACAAGAGAGAAAAGUAUAGAAAUAGCACAAAGGAUAGAAAUGUGAUUAUUGUGUGUGUGUUUGUGAUAUGCAGUAUGUCAGUUGUGUCUGUGUGAUUGUGAUACGCAGUAUGUCAGUUGUGUCUAUGUGUUUGUGAUAUACAGUAUGUCAGUUGUGUCUCACAAAAGAGAAUUGGGGGUGGGGGAGGUACUUAUAGUACUGAAGACGAGUAACAAACAAGGUAACAAUCCAUAAUUAAGGAAUUGGGUAUCAAUCAUAAUCAAAUCACCAUAUGGACUCCCCUUUAAUUAAGGAAUCAAAGUCAAACGGUAAUAAGCAGUUAUUUAAAAAAGGAAAGGAAUCACAUAGCAUGGUAUGAUUAUAUAAGGAAACAGAAUAGUAUAAGGUAUACCAUAAAGACUAGGUGCAUGAUACUUAAUUAGGAAAAUAUGUCAGGCAAAUCAAUCAACAUAUUUG